rnacentral:misc_RNA from 1 species
GAUGAAGAACGUAGCAAAAUGCGAUACUUGGUGUGAAUUGCAGAAUCCCGUGAACCAUCGAGUUUUUGAACGCAAGUUGCGCCCGAAGCCUUUUGGCCGAGGGCACGUCUGCCUGGGCGUCACGCAUCGCGUCGCCCCCCACAAUUCUCCGUAAAGGGAACAUGUGUUUUGGGGGCGGAUAUUGGUCUCCCGUGCUCAUGGCGUGGUUGGCCGAAAUAGGAGUCCUUUCGAUGGACGCACGAACUAGUGGUGGUCGUAAAAUCCCUCGUCUUUUGUUUCGUGCUGUUGCUCGCAAGGUAAACUCUUUAAAAACCCCAAUGUGUCGUCUCUUGACGACGCUUCGACCGCGACCCCAGGUCAGGCGGGACUACCCGCUGAGUUUAAGCAUAUCAAUAAGCGGAGGA